CAACGACGAUCGUCAGCUCUUGUUGCAUGUGGGAGAUUUGAAGUUGAACGUUUGUAUAUAAACUGAAUAAAGUGCUUUAUUUCAGCGCAAUAUUUCCAUUUUUAUUGGUGUUAUUUAUUGCCAUGGAGGACAAACAAGAUUCAGAUGUGGAUGAUGUAGACAGAGAGAGUUUAGUUAAAGAAAUAGAGUUAAUUCGCCGAACACUUGGCGGUGCAUCGACUCGAGCACACUCAGAUGGUGGUUUUGUCAGCUUUGAUGAUCGAGGCUCUGAAAAAGGUUCUGACGAUUCCGAAGAUGAACUAGGUAUAAGUAAAUUUGUUGUACUUGUGAACAUGUUUCUAUUCAAGUAAUGAUUAAGGUUGUAAAAUGUGCCGCACAUUCUGGUCUCCGGACAGUUUAAUAAAAUAUGCUUGCGCUGAAUUUAUGCAGACUUUACUGAGCAUGUCUUUCAACUGAAG